ACACCGGCAGCUCUAGUGGUAGCAAUUUUUAUUGGGCCUAAAGCGUCCGUAGCCGGUUUAAUAAGUCUCUGGUGAAAUCCUGUAGCUUAACUGUGGGAAUUGCUGGAGAUACUAUUAGACUUGAGACCGGGAGAGGUUGGAGGUACUCCCAGGGUAGAGGUGAAAUUCUGUAAUCCUGGGAGGACAGCCUGUUGCGAAGGCGUCUAACUGGAACGGUUCUGACGGUGAGGGACGAAAGUUAGGGGCGCGAACCGGAUUAGAUACCCGGGUAGUCCUAACUGUAAACGAUGCGGACUUGGUGUUGGGGUGGCUUUGAGCUGUCCCAGUGCCGAAGGGAAGCUGUUAAGUCCGCCGCCUGGGAAGUACGGUCGCAAGACUGAAACUUAAAGGAAUUGGCGGGG
rnacentral:rRNA from 1 species